UACGGAGGAUCCAAGCGUUAUCCGGAUUCAUUGGGCUUAAAGGGUGCGUAGGCGGCACGAUAAGUCAGUGGUGAAAGCCUGCAGCUUAACUGCAGAACUGCCAUUGAUACUGUCGAUCUUGAGUACAUUUGAUGAGGGCGGAAUGUGUCAUGUAGCGGUGAAAUGCUUAGAUAUGACAUAGAACACCAAUUGCGUAGGCAGCUUAUUACACGAUCAUUGACGCUGAGGCACGAAAGCGUGGGGAGCAAACAGG
rnacentral:rRNA from 1 species